rnacentral:lncRNA from 1 species
GGCUUGUUUUUUUAAACAGGAAUAUUCGUCCUUUACUAGACACACUUAAUGUUUACACACCAAUGUCAAAUAUACCCAGAGGUUGAUGUCCGUGUCCCAUCCAUUCCUCCCAUCCCUCCUCCCAUCCCGGGCUUCUCUUCCUGUCUUGUGCUGGGACAGCAUCUUUUUUUUUUUCUUUUUUAGCACCUUUAUUGACGAAUAAUUUCCGGCUUAUUUAAAGUUUAUGCUCUUGCUCGAAAGUCAGCGGGUCCUUAUUGAAUGUCUCCGUCCCGCCCUCAGCCCCUCACUUCCAGGUGUGCACCUUCCCAUGCCGAAAUGAUUACAUACAGACAUCAGAACAGGGGACAGUUUCUCUUCGUUGUACCAAAAUGGGUCUUUUAUUACACGGGGUUCUGCCUCUUGCUUUUCUCAUCUAACAGUAUCUUGGGGGACUCUCCAAGUUAUCGGCUUCUUCAUCUCUUUCUUGCUCGUUUCUCAGAGGUUUGGACUUACAUCUGUAAAGGGUCACGGGAACCGAAUUUCGGUGAGGAAUUCAAGACGUGACUUUCUGACUCAGAAAAGCCGAGGUGCCCGGCUUUGGAAGGGUCAGGGCUCCCAAAUUCGCUCCCCACUCUAGGACCUUUCCUGUUCGUAAAAUCGGGGCCGUUUAGGCCGUCCGGUGCCCUCUUGGGAGGCGGUGACACCAGGGUGACCCCCUCGGCCCCCACCCCACGUGCGUCUAGGUGACUCCCGGGCGGGUAGCCUUCUUCCCGGCGCACAUCGCCGGGGCCGCGCGCGAACCCCACCGGCGGCGUUAAUCAUUAGCAGCGCGCGAGCCCCGCCGCCGCCGUCGCAGCUUUUUACCCCGGGUUCCAGCUCGCAGUGCCGCGAGGUUUUCCCCGGCCCCCGCCAAGCCGCCAAUCGCGGGAUUCCAGCCGCCGGCCCGAGUCUCCACCCACUGGAAAAAUUCCUGGUCCGCCCUCCCAGUCUCCCUGCCCCCUCCCGAGGCUGCUCCAGCUCGGCUCGGCCCCGACUUCCUGCUGGGCACUGGGAAGGCGCGCGCGGGCUGGGGUCCCCGGGGGCCGCGCUCGCAGCUGGCCGCGCCCCGGCAGCCAAGGGGUUGGCGGUGGGCGGGAGCGGCCGGCAGUCUCGGCCCCUUCCCGGAGCGACUUUCAAACUUGCGCCUGCGUUGCGGCGGCACCUGGGUGGCUUCGCGCGCCUUGCGUUCCGGACCCGGUGGAGCAGCCGGUGCUCGGAGUUGUGUCAUCCAGUUUCCAAGCCUACAACUGAAAGGCAGCAGCAAAGGAGAGUAUAAAGAGACCAAUGUAGAGAAGAAAAGUGACCACAGUGCAAUGACAGUUGAUGGAGUGGAUGGAGAACAAGACUCCGUGGAAAAUAGGCAUGAGUGUGAGAGCCAGGGGUCAUUAUUUAUGUCGGGGGAGUGGCUUGGCACACCUUGGCCUUGGGGGGCAUCGUCAUUUUGA